rnacentral:tRNA from 1 species
GUUUAGGCGGCAGGCUGUAGUCCUGUUUACAUGGGUUUGAGUCCUGUUUCUAU